rnacentral:rRNA from 1 species
AACGUAGGUUCCGAGCGUUAUCCGGAUUUACUGGGCGUAAAGCGCGUUCAGGCGGUUUGGCAAGUCGGGCAUGAAAUCCUUCGGCUCAACCGGGGGAGGUUGUCCGAUACUGCUGAACUGGAGGGCAGUAGAGGGUGGUGGAAUUCCGGGUGUAGUGGUGAAAUGCGUAGAGAUCCGGAGGAACACCUGCGGCGAAGGCGGGUUGCUGGGCCGACACUGACGCUGAUGCGCGAAAGCCAGGGGAGCGAACGGG